GACGAACGCUGGCGGCGUGCUUAACACAUGCAAGUCGAACGGAAAGGCCCUGCUUGCAGGGUACUCGAGUGGCGAACGGGGGAGUAACACGUGGGUGAUCUGCCCUGCACUUCGGGAUAAGCCUGGGAAACUGGGGCUAAUACCGGAUAGGAGCCAUUCUGAGUGUGAGGGUUGGAAAGUUUUUUCGGUGUAGGAGGAGCUCGCGGCCUAUCAGCUUGUUGGUGGGGUAAGGGCCUACCAAGGCGGCGACGGGUAGCCGGCCUGGGAGGGUGGACGGCCACAUUGGGACUGAGAUACGGCCCAGACUCCUACGGGAGGCAGCAGUGGGGAAUAUUGCACAAUGGGCGCGAGCCUGAUGCAGCGACGCCGCGUGGGGGAUGACGGCCUUCGGGUUGUAAACUCCUUUCGCUAGGGACGAAGCUUUUUGUGACGGUACCUAGAUAAGAAGCACCGGCUAACUACGUG
rnacentral:rRNA from 1 species